UUGAAGGUACAACGACACUGCCGUUCGUUUCGUUUUGAUUAAACAGGUGGAAUUCCACGCAGGCGGAAAGUUUUGAGGGCGGCACCUAGCCCCGCGCCACCAGUGAACAGGUGGGGUUCCAUUUCCUAAUAUCGUACCCAUUUCAUCGAUGAGGACAUGAAAAACCAGAGAAGCUAAGAUCAGUCAGCUGAUGCGCGCGGAACAGGAUGGAUGCCCCUUGGGGUGAAGUCAUCCCUCGGUGCUCUGCCCUCUCUGACGGGCCCAGCAGGGCUGGCAUGAGGAGCCCAUCGAGAAGUCUGAUGUCUAAGGUGGACCAGAGAAGACUUGGAGCCUGGGGGCCUCGACGUCAAUGGACUUGAAACUUGAUCUGUAUCAUUUGUUCCCAGCAAACGAGACCUGGUUUCUCUGGGCAAGAACUCCAGCCGUCACUCUGAACCCACAACAGUUCUAGUUCACGCCAUUGGCCUCCAAGGAGGUGCUGCCGGGUUGAGGGGAUGCGUGGUUUUCACACAUGCUACAACAGACUGGCAGCAGCCGGUAUGUCGACAGCUGUUGGGGAGAAGACUUCGGUUCUGGUGGGAUGGGAAAAAGAAGUUGCAGUUUGAAAGGAUUCUACCCUCGAGCUUCCAAUUGUGAUUUUAAAGUUCUUCUAGUUAAAAAUAUUCUAGUAUCUGUAGACUUGCUGUUGGGCAUGUACACUCGCACAACCACUUUGGAGAUCAAUCUGGAAAUACCUUAAAAAGCUGAAGAUGCAGAUUUUAUGCAACCCAACAGUUUCAUUACGAAUUGACUCCUGUGGGUUGACUGAAUGGUGCCCCCCAAAUUCCUCAUGUGAUGGUAUCUGCAGAUGGGGUCUUUAGUAGGUAGUUAAGGUUAAAUGAGGUCAUAGGGUGGAGCCCUGAAUCCAUACGAUAAGGAAAGAGAGAGAGAUCUCUCGCCCUCUCUCUGUCAUGUGGACACAGGGAGUAGGUGACCGUUUAUAAGCCAGGAAGGGAGCGCUCCCCAGAACCUGACGAUGCUGGCACCCUGGUCUCAGACUUCUGGCUUCUAGAACUGUGAGAAAGUACAUUUCUGCUGUUUAAACCACCCAGUCUGUGUAUUUUGUUAUGGUAGCCCGAGCUCAGACAGUGGCUGUCCUAGGAAAGCCCUUAUACAGAUGGACGAAGGAAAUGUAAGGGUGUUCCUGAUAGUGGUGUCCCUAACAGUAAAAAUAUGAAAACAGUCUAAUUUCCUGUAGAAAAGUGAACUGUUCACACAACAGGAGUCUAUAGAGCAGUUGAAAGGAAUAGAUAUUAACACGUAUCAAUGUCGAUAAAUCUCAAAAAUACAAUGUCAAGUAAAAAAAUCCAGCUGCGAAAGGGCAUUUAGACACCUAACUGGUGGUCUACAAUCUUAGGGAUACACACGCAUAGGUCAGAGUACAGGCAAUUGCCUGGAAAUGAUACUUCUGAGAAGAGAGGGGAAAAUGAUAGGGGGCAAGACAGAAACUUUUGCUGUAUCUGUAAAUGUUUUAUUUCUUAAUAAAGAAAAGAGGUUUGUGCCCAUGUCAGCAAAUUGUUUGCAUCCUUGAAGUCUGGCUGAUAAGCGCAUAGUGACUGUUACAUUACAUUCCAUAGGUUUCACUUACUUCGUAGAUGGAAGUUGUUUUUCGUAUCAUCUGGGUUUCAGCAGUACAACAGGGCUUUGCAGACAGACCUGUUUUACAUGCUGCAAUAGAAGCCCCGAGAUCUUUGGGUGGCUUGGCCAAAGUCUGAUCUAGUUAAAGGGCGACUUGAGGAUUAGAAACUUGCUUUCUGUCUUUCUCCAUAGCGUACCCUGUAUGUCUGUUAAUUAUGUGCUAUAGGGACCGUGUCUCCAACCAUUUCUUCUAGGCCUGAAAUGAUCCAAAGCGUGUCCAAUUGCGGAAGACCAGGUUUGAACCUAGCUGGCCCUCCUGUCCCCCAAAUCGUCUCCAAGGCUGAUGUGUUCCCUGGUUUACUUGCUGCAGGUGUUAGACUUACUUAGGAGAGGUCAGAUUUCCCACUUAGGAGAAAAUGGAUAUAAGAAAACAAGAUUACUGAUCUGGAAAUUUUCUGAAACAACUGAGAAGUUGGCAGAAGCUUUAAAAUGGAGGUUUUGCCAAUUGUAAUUAAUUUUGGCUGGAAGAUUUUAAUU